GCAUACCGCCAUACCACCCUGCACGUGCCCAAUCUCAUCGGGUCUCAGAAGCUAAACAGGGUCGGGCUGGGUUAGUACUUGGAUGGGAGAAAUGGAAUAAUGGAGCAAGUGUUUC
ensembl:rRNA 5S_rRNA 5S ribosomal RNA